GGUAUUAGGUUGGUGCAAAAGUAAUUGCAUUUUUUCCCAUUACUUUUAAUGGGAAAACUGUAAUUACUUUUGCACCAACC
ensembl:miRNA